rnacentral:rRNA from 1 species
CCCUUAGAUGUUCUGGGCCGCACGCGCGCUACACUGACGAUGGCAACGAGUUUUUCCUUCGCCGAAAGGUGUGGGUAAUCUUUUGAAACAUCGUCGUGCUGGGGAUAGAUCAUUGCAAUUUUUGAUCUUGAACGAGGAAUUCCUAGUAAGCGCGAAUCAUCAGCUCGCGUUGAUUACGUCCCUGCCCUUUGUACACACCGCCCGUCGCUACUACCGAUUGAAUGGUUUAGUGAGGACUCCUGAUUGGCGCCGCCGCCCCGGCAACGGAGCAGCGGACUGCCGAAAAGUUGUUCAAACUUGAUCAUUUAGAGGAAGUAAAAGUCGUAACA